GUGUCUCCCAAUCUCUACCUGUCCUCCUCUUUCAUUCUGUUUGUGCCCAUCUCUAAUUCUCUCCAUCGCUCCUUUUCCAUGUCCAUCAUUUUCUCCCUCGUUUCUUUCCCAUUGUGACCAACCAAUAUCCCUCAAUUGUUCUCGUUCUCAAGCUAUUUAUUCCAUUUCUCCCUCUUACUCCAAAAUGCACAUCUAAAACCCC